AGUGGCGAACGGGUGAGUAAUAUAUCGGAACGUACCCUGGAGUGGGGGAUAACGUAGCGAAAGUUACGCUAAUACCGCAUACGAUCUAAGGAUGAAAGUGGGGGAUUCGCAAGAACCUCAUGCUCCUGGAGCGGCCGAUAUCUGAUUAGCUAGUUGGUAGGGUAAAAGCCUACCAAGGCUUCGAUCAGUAGCUGGUCUGAGAGGACGACCAGCCACACUGGAACUGAGACACGGUCCAGACUCCUACGGGAGGCAGCAGUGGGGAAUUUUGGACAAUGGGCGCAAGCCUGAUCCAGCAAUGCCGCGUGAGUGAAGAAGGCCUUCGGGUUGUAAAGCUCUUUUGUCAGGGAAGAAACGGUGAGGGCUAAUAUCCCUUGCUAAUGACGGUACCUGAAGAAUAAGCACCGGCUAACUACGUGCCAGCAGCCGCGGUAAUACGUAGGGUGCAAGCGUUAAUCGGAAUUACUGGGCGUAAAGCGUGCGCAGGCGGUUUUGUAAGUUUGUCGUGAAAGCCCCGGGCUCAACCUGGGAAUUGCGAUGAAGACUGCAAGGCUUGAAUCUGGCAGAGGGGGGUAGAAUUCCACGUGUAGCAGUGAAAUGCGUAGAGAUGUGGAGGAACACCGAUGGCGAAGGCAGCCCCCUGGGUCAAGAUUGACGCUCAUGCACGAAAGCGUGGGGAGCAAACAGGAUUAGAUACCCUGGUAGUCCACGCCCUAAACGAUGUCUACUAGUUGUCGGGUUUUAAUUAACUUGGUAACGCAGCUAACGCGUGAAGUAGACCGCCUGGNGAGUACGGUCGCAAGAUUAAAACUCAAAGGAAUUGACGGGGACCCGCACAAGCGGUGGAUGAUGUGGAUUAAUUCNAUGCAACGCGAAAAACCUUACCUACCCUUGACAUG
rnacentral:rRNA from 1 species